rnacentral:rRNA from 1 species
AGAGCGCACGGAGGAUGCCUUGGCUUCGGCAGGCGAAGAAGGACGCGGUAAGCUGCGAAAAUGUCCGGGGAUUUGCAAACGGGAGUUGAUCCGGACGUGUCCGAAUGGGGCAACCCGCACGGCUGAAGGCCGUGCACCGGCGCGAGCCGGGGCGAACCCGGGGAACUGAAACAUCUUAGUACCCGGAGGAGAAGAAAGAAACAGUCGAUUCCCUUAGUAGUGGCGAUCGAAGAGGGAGGAGCCUAAACCGCCGCGUUCGAGGACGCGGCGGGGUUGUAGGACCGGCGAUGUCCGCAUCCGCGCAAACCGGAGCAUGUCUGGAAAGCGUGGGCGCAGAGGGUGACACCCCCGUACGGGUAACGUGCGGAUGCGGAUGCCGGCACCUGAGUAGGGCGGGGCACGUGGAAUCCUGUCCGAAUCAGCGGGGACCAUCCCGCAAGGCUGAAGACUGCCGAAGACCGAUAGUGUACCAGUACCGUGAGGGAAAGGUGGGAAGCACCCCGGGAGGGGAGUGAAAUAGAGCCUGAAACCGUGCGCUUGCAAGCGGUCGGAGCACCAUUAUGGUGUGACGGCGUGCCUUUUGCAUAAUGAGCCUACGAGUUGCCUCACGCCGGCGAGGCUAAGCCAUUCAGUGGCGGAGCCGCAGCGAGAGCGAGUCUGAACAGGGCGUUCAGUCGGCGUGAGCAGACGCGAAACCUAGUGAUCUACCCUUGUCCAGGGUGAAGGGGCCGUAACAGGCUCUGGAGGCCCGAACCAGUUUCCGUUGAAAAGGGCUUGGAUGAGGCGAGGGUAGGAGUGAAAGGCCAAUCAAACUGGGAGAUAGCUCGUACUCCCCGAAAUGUCUUUAGGGACAGCCUCGUCAGUUUCCCGCGUGAGGUAGAGCUACCGAUUGGAAGCGAGGGCUUCGCCGCCUAUCAAUUCCAGACGAACUCCGAAUGCGCGCGGUGAUCUAUGACGGGAGUGAGUCGUCGGGUGCUAAUAUCCGGCGGCGAGAGGGUAAGAGCCCAGACCUCCGGCCAAGGCCCCCAAGAACGGUCUAAGUUGAGACAGAACGAAGUGGCACCGCAGAGACAGCCAGGAUGUUAGCUUGGAAGCAGCUAUUCAUUCAAAGAGUGCGUAACAGCUCACUGGUCGAGCGGAGCCGCGUGGAUGAUGAUCGGGCAUCAAGACCGUCGCCGAAGCCGAGGACGACGCGCCAUAGCGCGCGCCGUGGUAGGGGAGCAUUCCGGUCGGCGCCGAAGGCGCGGCGCGAGCCGUGCUGGAGCGUCCGGAAAAGAAAAUGUAGGCAUGAGUAACGACAAGAGAUGUGUGAACAUCUCCGCCGAAAACCCAAGGUUUCCGGGGCCACGCUAAACGGCCCCGGGUCAGCCGGGAGCUAAGGGUAAGCCGAACGGUGAUCCCGAUGCCGAUGCGGUCAACAUUCCGCAGCCGGCGCGCCAGGCGCACACGCGACCGAGGAGUGACACUGCCGCGGGGAGACGGAAUUCCCCGUUGAAGGCCGUAGGGAGACCGAAAGCCGACAGUACGGCGAGCCUUCGGGCGAGCCGACAGAGCAGGUAACCAUACUCGCGAGAAAAGCGUGUGCGCGCCAAGCGUCGCGCCGCCCGUACCGUAAACCGACACAGGUGGGUGGGGAGAGAAUCCUGAGGCGCUCGAGUGAAUCACGGCCAAGGAACUAGGCAAAUUGACCCCGUAACUUCGGGAUAAGGGGUCCCGCGGCGACGCGGGCGCAGAGAAAUGGCCCAGGCGACUGUUUACCAAAAACAUAUGGCUAUGCGAAAUCGAUAAGAUGACGAAUAUGGCCUGACACCUGCCCGGUGCCGGAAGGUUAAGAGGGGGGGUCACCGAAAGGGAAGCCCUGAAUUGAAGCCCCGGUAAACGGCGGCCGUAACUAUAACGGUCCUAAGGUAGCGAAAUUCCUUGUCGGGUAAGUUCCGACCUGCACGAAUGGUGUAACGAUCUGGGCGCUGUCUCAGCCGUGAGCUCGGUGAAAUUGUAGUGGCGGUGAAGAUGCCGCCUACCCGCAGAAGGACGGAAAGACCCUAUAGACCUUAACUGUAAGCUGUCAUUGUUUCUUCGGUUUUAAUGCUCAGAGUAAGUGGGAGACGCUGAAGACGCCCUUUAGGGGGCGUCCGAGUCAUCAAUGAGACACCACCCUUUGAAACUGGAGGAUCUAACCCUGAGCCGUGAAUCCGGCCAGAGGACCGUGUCAGCCGGUCAGUUUUACUGGGGCGGUAUCCUCCCAAAGAGUAACGGAGGAGCGCGAAGGUGGGCUCAGCCCGGUUGGCAACCGGGUGUCGAGUGCAUGGGCAUAAGCCCGCCUAACUGUGAGACCAACAAGUCGAGCAGAUGCGAAAGCAGGCCCAAGUGAUCCGGCGGUAGAAAGUGGAAUUGCCGUCGCUCAACGGAUAAAAGGUACCUUAGGGAUAACAGGCUGAUCACGCCCAAGAGUUCAUAUCGACGGCGUGGUUUGGCACCUCGAUGUCGGCUCGUCGCAUCCUGGGGCUGGAGAAGGUCCCAAGGGUCCGGCUGUUCGCCGGUUAAAGCGGCACGCGAGCUGGGUUCAGAACGUCGCGAGACAGUUCGGUCCUCUAUCCUCUGUGGGCGUUGGAAAAUUGAGGGGUUCAGACCUUAGUACGAGAGGACCGGGUCUGACGCACCACUGGUGCAUCGGUUGUACUGUCAAGUGCAUGGCCGAGUAGCUAAGUGCGGACGGGAUAAGCGCUGAAAGCAUCUAAGCGCCAAGCCCUUCCCAAGAUGAGUUUUCCCUACAGGUUCGUGGAAGACCACCACGUUGAUAGGUCGCAGGUGUAAGUGCAGCAAUGUAUUGAGCCGAGCGAUACUAAUUACCAAUUGACUUCAUC